rnacentral:rRNA from 1 species
UGCCAGCAGCCGCGGUAAUACGAACUGUGCAAACGUUAUUCGGAAUCACUGGGCUUAAAGGGUGCGUAGGCGGGUUGGUAGGUCAGAUGUGAAAGCCCACGGCUCAACCGUGGAAUUGCGUUUGAAACCACUAGUCUUGAGGGGAUCAGAGGAGAGCGGAACUGAUGGUGGAGCGGUGAAAUGCGUUGAUAUUAUCAGGAACACCGGUGGCGAAAGCGGCUCUCUGGGAUCCUUCUGACGCUGAGGCACGAAAGCUAGGGGAGCGAACGGGAUUAGAUA